rnacentral:rRNA from 1 species
AUGUGCGUUUCAGUUCGAUUUUGUCCACUGCGGUACUAUGCGGCUUGCUCGAGCAGAGGUUUGGCACGGUUCGAGAUGAGCGCCAGCAUCACGGUGACCUACAAGAGGAAGCGUGGCGCGUCGCGCGCCCAGGCGGCUGAUGCCGCCACUCCGGAGCCUCGUCCUGUUUCUAGCGGUGGGGUUGCCGACCCCGAAGCCCCGGAAGACGGGGCGGACGCUGAUAAAGACCUGUUGAACCGAUAUGAUCAUCCUGCCUCUACACAGCAACAGCAUCUCUGCAAGUCAAUGCAAGAAAGCGCCAGAGAAGAAGCACCUAAGCCAUGUGCACAUGCAACAGAGAAAGAACAAAAGGAAAUCCCAUUGUGCGAACCAUUGCCACGGAUGGAGCGACCUGAGAUUUGUUCUGUCACCACUCUCCCAAUAGCAGAGGCGUGUAAUGAUAAAUUACAAUGCACCAAUGAUGCAGUUAAUCCCAUCCCUGCUCCCAGUUCUGUAUGCUAUCUCAGACAUGCUGAUGGGACAACUAAUCAAGCAGAGGAUUCUAAUAACUCUGCUCAUGUGGUAAUAAAUUCUCAUCAAGGCCCAGAAGAUAGUAUCAGACCUAGUCAAUGUAAGAACAGAUUUAGUCCUCAGCUCACCUUCCGGAGGCGUGUUAAAAGGAAAAUUGAUUUGGAUGAGGCAGCAGAGGGAAAUUAUAUGAAUAACGGCAAAGGGUACUCAACACUGGCAUGUAGCCCAGCAAGUUUGUCAGUUAAUGCUACAGCCUUGCUUGAAGUAACUAAUGCUGAUUCUUUGGAUAUUGCAGAUAAGGUAGCUACAGAAGGAACAAGUAUUGGAUUAACUGUACCAGCUCAACGCUUGCUUGAACAAAAAAGUUCAUGCAUGCUAAAAUCUAAAAUGCAGCAUACGGUUUCCACACAGCAUAUUGAAGAUGUAAACCAAGCCUUAACUUCAGAACGGGAUGGUACACCAGUUUCAGAAUUUACUAGCGUGCAAGUGAUCAGUGAGCCAGAUGUAAGAGCGGAGGACUUGAGCAAAACUCUAGGUCGUGUUAAUGAAGCACCAAAAGUUGUUGAAAUGAAGGAGUUACAUGAUGAUCCUCCAGAAUCCCAAGGUUCAACAAAACAUAUUCCAGUAAUUAUCUUGGACGGUGAUAAUGAUGAGAGGGCCAGGGGUAAACUGCUGGAAAAUUCAAAGGUUCCUGAUCAAGUAGUCCAGGAGGAAAACAAAACCAGAUUUAAUUUUGGGAAGUUCAACCUGAAUUCGGUUGAAUUAUCUCAAGAGAGGCUUCUCAAUCUGAAUGACUCGUCUGUUCAAAGGCUGCCAGAUCAGGAUCAUUUUGGUACUGAACGAAAACAAGUUUCUCAACCAAUUGAAAGGUUAUUUUUUACAAAGGAGAAAGAAACCGUCCAUGAUAAAGAACAACAUCAAGAGGGAACCUCAACAUUACAUACCUUGUACCCAAAUUUUUAUGAUCCGGCUCUGUCAUGGAAAGCUGGGAGUUCCAAGGAACCAAAGAGCAUGCCUUCAGAACUGAAAUUCAGAAUAAUGGAUAAGGCUCCUGAGUCCAGUUUGGAACUCCGCUUGGAUAGUUUCCAAGACAGUGGCAUGUCUGCCCUUAGUCACGAUAAGUUAUUUCAUGGAGGCAAGUCCAGUGGAUCUCAUGUACUGACAGAAAGGGUUGGCACAUAUUCCUACAGAAGGCGUCAGGUUACCUGGUCGGAAGAAGAGUUAGAUUUUCUGUGGAUUGGAGUGAGGAGGUAUGGAACGAAUAACUGGAACGCAAUGCUUAGGGAUACACGGCUACGGUUCUCAAGCUCAAGAAUGGCUGAGGACCUUGCUAAACAAUGGAACAAGGAGCAAAAGAAACUUCUAGGUGUAGAUCUUCAAUCAAUAAGAACAUCUGCUUUAGGUUCUGCACCGCCUCCCCAUAUAGCAGAAGAUUAUGCUGGAAGCAGUUCGUGCACUGGAUGCUCAAAGCCUCCAUUUCUUGCAGCCCAAUCGGACCUUUCCUUGCGCGACGUGCACCUUCAGAAUGCUCACUCUUCAGAUAGAGGCCAACAUUAUUUGUCAAACCUUGGCAGGUUUAACCUUCAUGGAAUCGACAAUGUGCCGAGAAAUUUGUCUCUGGGAGGCUUCCCUGGAGCUUCUCCCUCACAGGGGAGAACUGGGAGCAGGCGUAGGAAGACAACCAAGCUUCAAAAGCCAUACUAUGACAACAGGUCACACUGGUGCCAAGAACUACCACAGAGGAUGCCGGCUCAGCUCGUUCCCAUCAACCAACAACCAAUCAACAGCCUUCCUCAGUGGCUUACCAAGGGCGCCGAGACCGGUAAAAGCUGGCUUAACCCGGAGACGUGGUCGAGCGCGUCGCAGGCGCCAGGCCAUUCUGUCGCAGAUCCACUGAAUGACAGCCUGAGGGCUGCCGCCUUUCUGUUCCCCGACGACAAGAAACCACAUGCCAUGCCCGACGCCUCUUUGAAGCUGGCGCUGAAGAGGAAAGCGGAGUGGCGCAGUCUAGGCAAGAAGCUUUUCCGGACCAGCGGUGACACCUUGGAUCUAAACCAGAGGGCUGCUGCUAUGGCAGCAGGGCCGAGCGGCGCCACCCCGAGCGACACCGGCGCGUCGUCUGAAGAGACGGUGUCAGAUAGCUGA